UACGUAGGGGGCAAGCGUUUGUCCGGAAUCAUUGGGCGUAAAGAGCGUGUAGGCGGCUCGAUAAGUCCGCUCUGAAAGCCCGGGGCUCAACCCCGGGAGGCGGGCGGAUACUGUCGAGCUAGAGUCCGGAAGAGGCGAGUGGAAUUCCUGGUGUAGCGGUGAAAUGCGCAGAUAUCAGGAGGAACACCAAUGGCGAAGGCAGCUCGCUGGGACGGUACUGACGCUGAGACGCGAAAGCGUGGGGGAGCAAACAGG
rnacentral:rRNA from 1 species